rnacentral:ncRNA from 1 species
GUGUUGUGCAAAAGGAGGGAGGUUAGCCCUCUUCUUCCUAAGGCUAGGAGAUACCUUCUUGUCCUACAAAAUACAUACAUGGCUAAGGCAUUGACAUGUUUUUCAUGAUGUUUCCAUCACCCUUCCU